UCCGUAGGCGGAUAAUUAAGUCAGAGGUGAAAUCCCACAGCUUAACUGUGGAACUGCCUUUGAUACUGGUUGUCUUGAAUUAUAGUGAAGUAGAUAGAAUGUGUAGUGUAGCGGUGAAGUGCUUAGAUAUUACACAGAAUACCGAUUGCGAAGGCAGUUUACUAACUAUAUAUUGACGCUAAUGGACGAAAGCGUGGGGAGCGAACAGGAUUAGAUACCCUGGUAGUCC
rnacentral:rRNA from 1 species